UACGUAGGGGGCAAGCGUUGUCCGGAUUUACUGGGCGUAAAGAGCGCGCAGGCGGUCGUUCAAGUCGCGUGUGAAAGCCCCCGGCUCAACUGGGGAGGGUCACGCGAUACUGAUCGACUCGAAGGCAGGAGAGGGUAGUGGAAUUCCCGGUGUAGUGGUGGAAUGCGUAGAUAUCAUCUGGAACGCCAAUGGUGAAGACAGCUUGCUGGGGGUAUUCUGACACUGAGACACGAAAGCCAGGGGAGCAAACGGG
rnacentral:rRNA from 1 species